UUCAACGGCCGCGGUACUUUGACCGUGCAAAGGUAGCAUAAUCACUUGUCUUCUAAAUAAAGACUAGUAUGAACGGCAAAACGAGGGUCUAACUGUCUCCUCUGUCCACUCAAUGAAAUUGAUAUCCCAGUACAAAAGCUGCAAUUAAACAACAAGACGAGAAGACCCUAUGGAGCUUAAAACACACUAGAAAGUACAGUAAUUUUUUUAUCAAUUUCAUGUACCAAUUCCACAAUGUUUUUGGUUGGGGCGACCACGGAGAAUACUAAUCCUCCGAGAUGAUAUACCAGGAAGACAAUCCAAAAUAUCAGAAAACUGACAUAAUUGACCCAAUAACUUUGACCAACGAACCAAGUUACCCUAGGGAUAACAGCGCAAUCCUCUUCAAGAGCCCAUAUCGACAA
rnacentral:rRNA from 1 species